rnacentral:rRNA from 1 species
AACGAACGCUGGCGGCAGGCUUAACACAUGCAAGUCGAGCGCCCCGCAAGGGGAGCGGCAGACGGGUGAGUAACACGUGGGAAUCUACCCAUCCCUACGGAACAACUCCGGGAAACUGGAGCUAAUACCGUAUACGCCCUUUGGGGGAAAGAUUUAUCGGGGAUGGAUGAGCCCGCGUUGGAUUAGCUAGUUGGUGGGGUAAAGGCCUACCAAGGCGACGAUCCAUAGCUGGUCUGAGAGGAUGAUCAGCCACAUUGGGACUGAGACACGGCCCAAACUCCUACGGGAGGCAGCAGUGGGGAAUAUUGGACAAUGGGCGCAAGCCUGAUCCAGCCAUGCCGCGUGAAUGAUGAAGGCCUUAGGGUUGUAAAGUUCUUUCACCGAUGAAGAUAAUGACGGUAGUCGGAGAAGAAGCCCCGGCUAACUCUGUGCCAGCCGCCGCCGUAA